GAGAGAGAGAGAGAGAGAGAGUAAAUUUUCCACGUUAAAAAGCGUGGCGUGUUGAAAUAUACGAUGUAUUAAAUAUCUACGAUGCAGGAGAAACAUCGGGGAACUAGUUUUCCAAAGUAAUGCAAUUCUAAUGUUAAAAAAAUCAUUCAACUUUCGCGUUAGAAGAUAAAAAAAAAACAAAAAAAAAAAAGAAACAAGACGAGCAUGAGUUUCUUCAAGUCCCAAGAGAAGAAGUUUCCACAAGACGGGUCUUUUCUCUCAGGAUGGUGGAAAAGGCCCUAAAGGAAUUUUCAAGCUUGUCACGUUCGUGGACUCACACCUACGAAAUUUCCACGUACUCGCGGUCGUUGAGUAUCCUGGCAGCUUUCAACGGCUUGGAAGCUCGCAUUUACGUUGAAACGAAAAGGCCUUAACAAGGAUGAACGUGGAAUGAGAGAAAAAGAAAGACAGAGAGAGAGAGAGAGAGAGAGAGAGAGA